rnacentral:rRNA from 1 species
UAUGAUGGCAAUAGCGCAUGGGAACCACCUGAUCCAUUCCGAACUCAGUAGUGAAACGGUGCAUCGCCGAUGGUAGUGUGGGGUUUCCCCAUGUGAGAGUAGGUCAUCGCCAGGC